UGGGGAAUCUUGGACAAUGGGCGCAAGCCUGAUCCAGCCAUGCCGCGUGAGUGAAGAAGGCCUUCGGGUUGUAAAGCUCUUUUACCAGGGACGAUAAUGACGGUACCUGGAGAAUAAGCCCCGGCAAACUUCGUGCCAGCAGCCGCGGUAAUACGAAGGGGGCUAGCGUUGUUCGGAAUUACUGGGCGUAAAGCGCACGUAGGCGGAUUGUUAAGUCAGAGGUGAAAUCCCGGAGCUCAACUUCGGAACUGCCUUUGAUACUGGCAAUCUAGAGUCCGGAAGAGGUUAGUGGAAUUCCCAGUGUAGAGGUGAAAUUCGUAGAUAUUGGUAAGAACACCAGUGGCGAAGGCGGCUAACUGGUCCGGUACUGACGCUGAGGUGCGAAAGCGUGGGGAGCAAACAGGAUUAGAUACCCAAGUAGUCCCUGAGCGGGCUGGCAAGGCGCAU
rnacentral:rRNA from 1 species